GCGUGAGUGAUGAAGGCCUUCGGGUUGUAAAGCUCUUUUGGCGGGGACGAUGAUGACGGUACCCGCAGAAUAAGCCCCGGCUAACUUCGUGCCAGCAGCCGCGGUAAGACGAAGGGGGCUAGCGUUGCUCGGAAUUACUGGGCGUAAAGGGCGCGUAGGCGGUUUUUCAAGUCGGGCGUGAAAGCCCCGGGCUCAACCCGGGAUGUGCGUUCGAUACUGGAUGACUAGAGUGCAGGAGAGGGUGGUGGAAUUCCUAGUGUAGAGGUGAAAUUCGC
rnacentral:rRNA from 1 species